UCCGGUGUGGUUUAGUUGGCUAUAAUUGUUACACACAUGCUGGUGACAGAGACAAGUUCGAUCCUUGGCGCCGGAC